AUGUUCUGGGUUUUUCUGGCUGUUACUUGUCAGCCAGGAGCUCACAGCCUUCAGUUUGGGGUCAGCCAGGAGCUCCUGGUAUCUCUUGGGGCAGUGAGUCAAACCCACAGCUUGACAUCCCCAUCACCCCAAACGAAGAACAGAUCAAGUACAUUUCUCCAACUGAUUUUUCCCAAGCUGUAUUUACCAGGCCUGUGGCUGAGCUCUGUGGGCUUCCUGAGAUCACUGCUGCUCCUUGGAGAGCUGUGGUUUCCUUGUUCCCAGUGUCCUCAGGCAGAUAGAGGUGUUUGGAUAAAAGGAAGCCUUUUCAGUGGUUUACCAUUUAUAUUAUUUUUUAAAAAGUUUUCCUUUUUGCCUUCUAAAUUUUCAUUAUCACUCAGUACCCUCCCAUGGUUGCUGCCAUAG
rnacentral:lncRNA from 1 species